rnacentral:tRNA from 1 species
GUUUUAAUAAUUUAAUAAAAAUAUUGGUCUUGUAAAUCAAAAAUAAGAAAUACUAACCUUUUAAAACA